ACGAUUUAAUCCAAACCCUCUCCGAUGAGGGCCGCCCUGUUUCUUUCUUGAUCUACAACAUCGUCCUUCCUUGGGCUGGUAGCCUCGCCGCCGCCAUGUCCAUACCUUCUGCUUUCUUAUGUACGCACUCUGCAACUGUGUUCGCUAUCUACUACCAUUGUUUUAACACCCAAAAUGGAGUUUACGUCAGGAACAAAGAUUGUGAUGAGAAGGUAAACGAGCCUCCGAGCUUAAUAGAGAUUGAGGGGUUACCUCCAUUUUCUCGUCAAGAGCUACCUUCGUUUCUCCUCCCAAGUGAUCCAUACCAUUCGCUUGUCUCCACCUUUGAAGAACACAUCCGGGUAUUAGAAGAAGACCCGAACCCAUGUAUCCUUCUCAACACCUUCGAUGCUCUAGAACAAGAUUCAAUCAAGGGAAUUCGAUUUAACGGCGCCCGACUCUUCGCCAUUGGACCACUGCGUCAGUCAGCUUCUCCGGACAACAAGAACCCUACACCUGCAGAUAAGUUACUUCGCUGUGAUUUAUACGACAGUUCAAAGGAAUAUACUAACUGGUUAAGCUCAAAGCCUGACCGCUCGGUGGUAUACGUAUCUUUCGGCAGCCUUGCGACGCUGAAGAAAAAUCAAAUGGAAGAGAUCUUUAAUGGACUUUUGAGCAGCGGUCGGCCAUUCUUGUGGGUGAUUCGACCACCGAAAGACGGAGAAGAGGGAUUUGAGGAAAC
rnacentral:lncRNA from 1 species